rnacentral:rRNA from 1 species
UACGUAGGGUGCAAGCGUUGUCCGGAAUUAUUGGGCGUAAAGAGCUCGUAGGCGGUUUGUCGCGUCUGCUGUGAAAACCCGAGGCUCAACCUCGGGCCUGCAGUGGGGUACGGGCAGACUAGAGUGCGGUAGGGGGAGAUUGGAAUUCCUGGUGUAGCGGUGGAAUGCGCAGAUAUCAGGAGGAACACCGGUGGCGAAGGCGGGUCUCUGGGCCGAUACUGACGCUGAGGAGCGAAAGCGUGGGGAGCAAACAGG